UUCCGGUUGAUCCUGCCGGCGGCCACCGCUAUAGGAAUUCGAUUAAGACAUGCGAGUCGAGAGCGCAAGCUCGGCGGACUGCUCAGUAACACGUGGACAACGUGCCCUAAAGUGGGGGAUAAUCAGGGGAAACUCUGGAUAAUACCCCAUAGAUCAUGAGAUCUGGAAUGACUUAUGGUUCAAAGUUCCGGCGCUUUAGGAUCGGUCUGCGGCCUAUCAGGUAGUAGUGGGUGUAAUGUACCCCCUAGCCUAUUACGGGUAUGGGCCUUGAGAGAGGGAGCCCAGAGUUGGAUUCUGAGACACGAAUCCAGGCCCUACGGGGCGCAGCAGUCGCGAAAACUUCACAAUGGGCGAAAGCCCGAUGAGGGAAUUCCUAGUGCUAGCACUUUUGUGUUAGCUUUUCUUUAGCGUAGAUAACUAGAGGAAUAAGGGCUGGGUAAGACGGGUGCCAGCCGCCGCGGUAAUACCCGCAGCCCGAGUGGUGGUCGAUUUUAUUGAGUCUAAAACGUUCGUAGCCGGUCUGAUAGAUCCUUGGGUAAAUCGGGGGGCUUAACCUUCCGAAUUCCGAGGAGACCGUCAGGCUUGGGAUCGGGAGAGGUAAGAGGUACUUCAGGGGUAGGGGUAAAAUCCUGUAAUCCUUGGAGGACCACCGGUGGCGAAGGCGUCUUACUAGAACGAAUCCGACGGUGAGGGACGAAGCCCUAGGUCGCAAACGGGAUUAGAUACCCCGGUAGUCUAGGGUGUAAACGCUGCAGACUUGGUGUUGGAGGCCCUUCGGGGGCAUUCAGUGCCGGAGAGAAGUUGUUAAGUCUGCUACUUGGGGAGUACGUCCGCAAGGAUGAAACUUAAAGGAAUUGGCGGG
rnacentral:rRNA from 1 species